UACGUAGGUGACCAGCGUUGUCCGGAUUUACUGGGCGUAAAGAGCGCGCAGGCGGUCGUUCAAGUCGAGUGUGAAAGCCCCCGGCUCAACUGGGGAGGGUCACUCGAUACUGAUCGACUUGAAGGCAGGAGAGGGAAGCGGAAUUCCCGGUGUAGUGGUGAAAUGCGCAGAUAUCAGGAGGAACACCGGUGGCGAAGGCGGUUCUCUGGGCAUGACCUGACGCUGAGGAGCGAAAGUGUGGGGAGCGAACAGG
rnacentral:rRNA from 1 species